rnacentral:tRNA from 1 species
UGGCCCAUCGUCCAAUGGCAGGACCCUGGUUUUUGGUACCAGUUAUGUAGGUUCGAAUCCUGCUGGGCCAGCCA